rnacentral:rRNA from 1 species
UACGUAGGGUGCAAGCGUUAAUCGGAAUUACUGGGCGUAAAGCGUGCGCAGGCGGUUAUGUAAGACAGAUGUGAAAUGCCCGGGCUUAACCUGGGAACUGCAUUUGUGACUGCAUGGCUAGAGUUUGGCAGAGGGGGGUAGAAUUCCACGUGUAGCAGUGAAAUGCGUAGAGAUGUGGAGGAACACCGAUGGCGAAGGCAGCCCCCUGGGUUAACACUGACGCUCAGGCACGAAAGCGUGGGGAGCAAACAGG